AGUGCAUGAUAUAAGAUUAUUGACUGUCUCAACUGAUUCCACUGUAAGCUUGGCUGUAGGGAGGCUAUUCACCAAUAUCUGGAAAGCUACCGUCAAUAGUGACCCGCUAAUUCUUUGAUCUGGGCCCCCAUUAGAUGAUGGCCCAUUGGACCCAAAAUUUGCAGUAGUCGACCCACGAGAUCCUGGGCCGUCGGGUACGAUCGAGAAUCCCGAAGGGAGCAAAGCCACGUACGCAGAAUCACCACCAUUCAUCACCACAUGCAUUGCCGGGAUAUCAACUGGCGCGUAAACAACCAGCGCUCCUGCCGCGUCUAUGCACGUCUCCUGAAGUAUCAACAUGCUACUCUGAUUCGCGUUAAUAGCCUGUUAAACAAACCCUUAGUUAUGAAUACAUUUACGAAGAAUGCCAUUCUGCGGUAUAAUACGUCAAUUUCUGUUACAGUGUUAAAAAACCGAGUCAACUAGGGAUUAGGACUUUUCAUGUAAAAGGUGAUAUCAUGUGGUAGGGCUGACUUAAAAAAGGUAACAAGUGUCAUGUGUUUUGACUUUUUACGAAUUUACAAAAGAAACAACAAAGUUAAAAACUACAGAUCUGCAAUCAAAUGUCGUUUAGAGAUACUUCCAAAUUCCCUUAUUUGUCCUUUUCAAUUCACCUUUUUAUAUCUUAAGAAAAUGAACCCCACCCAUGCAAAUCAAUCAAUUUCUCUCAUUCAAUUAAUCAUGACCUUCUACAUGCAUUCAUCUAUUAACGCCAUGCAUUAUUAUCCUCACACCCUAUUUUUCAAUCCAUUCAAAAUUAAUAUCUUCAGUAUUAAUUUUUUUUUCUUUAAAAUGAAAAGGGUUAAAGAAAUUACACUAGCACGGAGGAGGGAGACGCAGUUGCCAUGAUCUUGGCCUUUGGCAAUAUGAGCCAUUUCUUGCAUAGGACCACCAUUGGAUAGGAUAUCCCAUUCACUCCGGAGACGUUCAUCACGGAGGAAAUCGAAGAGUCUUUGUGGGGAAACCGGCAACCAAACGGAAGUAGCAGCACUUAAAACAAUGCCCGGUGGCUCCCCCGGGUCAUCGACACUCUUUCGGGUCAUAACACGGACAUCUUCAUCCACAUUACCUGCACACAGUUUGUUCCACUUGUGUACCGUAGAAGCACAAACGCCAGCACAGAAGUUAGUGACCCGCUAAUUCUUUGAUCUGGGCUCCCAUUACAUGAUGGCCCAUUGGACGCACAAUUGGCAGUAUUAGACCCACGAGAUCCUGGGCCGUCGGGUACAAUCGAGAAUCCCGAAG
rnacentral:lncRNA from 1 species